rnacentral:rRNA from 1 species
GACGAACGCUGGCGGCGUGCCUAAUACAUGCAAGUAGAACGCUGAAGCGAGGAGCUUACUCUUCUUGGAUGAGUUGCGAACGGGUGAGUAACGCGUAGGUAACCUGCCUUGUAGCGGGGGAUAACUAUUGGAAACGAUAGCUAAUACCGCAUAACAAUGGAUGACACAUGUCAUUUAUUUGAAAGGGGCAAUUGCUCCACUACAAGAUGGACCUGCGUUGUAUUAGCUAGCAGGUGAGGUAAUGGCUCACCUAGGCGACGAUACAUAGCCGACCUGAGAGGGUGAUCGGCCACACUGGGACUGAGACACGGCCCAGACUCCUACGGGAGGCAGCAGUAGGGAAUCUUCGGCAAUGGGGGCAACCCUGACCGAGCAACGCCGCGUGAGUGAAGAAGGUUUUCGGAUCGUAAAGCUCUGUUGUAAGUCAAGAACGGGUGUGAGAGUGGAAAGUUCACACUGUGACGGUAGCUGACCAGAAAGGGACGGCUAACUACGUG